GGCGCCGCUGGGCGGUGCGCUCCGCGACGGACGCGCGGGGGACUGGUAGCGGUCGACGGGCUCGUACGGAUCGUCGGCGUAGCGACGACG
rnacentral:tRNA from 1 species